GGGGCAGCUCUUCACAUUCCAGACAUUCUUAGAGGGUACAGAGGAGGCGGGAAGAAAGGCUAUUCCCAGUUCUCCGCCUCAGUGCCAACGAUACCCCGUGGGCAUGAUCCUAGGCAGGCACAAGGGCAGGUGGCCUUGGGAGCCAAGGCAGGGCCCUGCUCCUGGAGGUGCCCACCCGGGGCUCGGGCUUCCAAGGCAGACUCCAGGAGCCGUCUCCCUCCAUCCAGCCACACACUCAGCCCUGCUUUCUCAGGAGCGGACUCUUCCAGACCAGCCCCCUGUUUGGGAUGCUCCCUCUUAGAAGCAGCUCUGGGAAAUCAUGGAGGACUGAGGCCCUGAGCUCCCAGCCGACAGCCAGUGCCAGCUUCCAGGAGGUGCGUACGCCAUCUUGAAUUUUCCAGCACGCUUGACCUCGGGACCGCAGACAAGGACCAGGGGAGUCGGUCCACAGAAAAUGAAGAUAAUAUCUUAAUCUUUUAAACCACUGAGUAAGUUUUGGGGUGCUCUGUUAUGCAA
rnacentral:lncRNA from 1 species